rnacentral:rRNA from 1 species
GGNGCUCUCCCAUAUGGUCGACCUGCAGGCGGCCGCGAAUUCACUAGUGAUUAGAGUUUGAUCCUGGCUCAGCAUUGAUCAGUGGUUGCGUUGCUGGCGUCGCCUGCGUCAUGAAAGAGGGGAACGCACUCAUCCCCAGAGCCACUGCACAAAUCCAGAAUAUUUUUCUUUUCAUCGCGUUAUCAUCAUUGUUGAGCCAAAGCCUGAUCCGAUGGUUGUGCCGUUUCGCUCCGCUCCGGGCGGCGCGGAAUAAACGAUACAACCCAGGAAACCAGAGAAGUCAGCACACGGAAUAUGCCCUUCACCGAAGAAGGCGCAAAUUCCGCCAGAUGGCGGUAGCCACGGAAGCCGAGCUUCAGAAUAUCCAGCAGACUUUCCAGCGGCUUAUCUUCCGGGUAGCUGUCCUGCCAGAGCGCCCAUGUAUCCGCACGGGCAAACGUACACUGCGCAAAAUCGAUAUGUUGCUGGGUAGUGAGCGGCAUUAAUUUCAGCCCAACUUCAUUACCCAUCACGCGCGCCACCUGAGCCAGGAUCAAACUCUAAUCGAAUUCCCGCGGCCGCCAUGGCGGCCGGGAGCAUGCGACGUCGGGCCCAAUUCGCCCUAUAGUGAGUCGUAUUACAAUUCACUGGCCGUCGUUUUACAACGUCGUGACUGGGAAAACCCUGGCGUUACCCAACUUAAUCGCCUUGCAGCACAUCCCCCUUUCGCCAGCUGGCGUAAUAGCGAAGAGGCCCGCACCGAUCGCCCUUCCCAACAGUUGCGCAGCCUGAAUGGCGAAUGGACGCGCCCUGUAGCGGCGCNNAAGCGCGGCGGGUGUGGUGGUUACGCGCAGCGUGACCGCUACACUUGCCAGCGCCCUAGCGCCCGCUCCUUUCGCUUUCUUCCCUUCCUUUCUCGCCACNNUCGNCNGGNNUUCCCCGUCAAGCUCNNAAUCGGGGGCUCCCUNAGGGUUCC